GACGAACGCUGGCGGCGUGCCUAAUACAUGCAAGUCGAACGCAGUGGGGACGGGUGAGUAACCCGUGGGUAACCUCCCAUCAGAAGGGAUAACACUUGGAAACAGGUGCUAAACAGAUACCGUUGGAUGGACCAGCGGUGCAUUAGCUAGUUGGGGAGGUAACGGCUCACCAAGGCCACGAUGCAUAGCUGACCGGAGAGGGUGAUCGGCCACACUGGGACUGAGACACGGCCCAGACGCCUACGGGAGGCAGCAGUAGGGAAUCUUCGGCAAUAGGCGAAAGUCUGACGGAGCAACGCCGCGUGAGUGAAGAAGGUUUUCGGAUCGUAAAACUCUGUUGUUAGAGAAGCGGUAUCUAACCAGAAAGCCACGGCUAACUACGUGCCAGCAGCCGCGGUAAUUC
rnacentral:rRNA from 1 species